GCGGCAGACGGGUGAGUAACGCGUGGGAACGUACCUUUUGCUACGGAAUAACUCAGGGAAACUUGUGCUAAUACCGUAUGUGCCCUUCGGGGGAAAGAUUUAUCGGCAAAGGAUCGGCCCGCGUUGGAUUAGCUAGUUGGUGAGGUAAAGGCUCACCAAGGCGACGAUCCAUAGCUGGUCUGAGAGGAUGAUCAGCCACAUUGGGACUGAGACACGGCCCAAACUCCUACGGGAGGCAGCAGUGGGGAAUCUUGCGCAAUGGGCGAAAGCCUGACACAGCCAUGCCGCGUGAAUGAUGAAGGUCUUAGGAUUGUAAAAUUCUUUCACCGGGGACGAUAAUGACGGUACCCGGAGAAGAAGCCCCGGCUAACUUCGUGCCAGCAGCCGCGGUAAUACGAAGGGGGCUAGCGUUGCUCGGAAUUACUGGGCGUAAAGGGAGCGUAGGCGGACAUUUAAGUCAGGGGUGAAAUCCCGGGGCUCAACCUCGGAAUUGCCUUUGAUACUGGGUGUCUUGAGUAUGAGAGAGGUGUGUGGAACUCCGAGUGUAGAGGUGAAAUUCGUAGAUAUUCGGAAGAACACCAGUGGCGAAGGCGACACACUGGCCCAUUACUGACGCUGAGGCUCGAAAGC
rnacentral:rRNA from 1 species